rnacentral:rRNA from 1 species
AACGAACGCUGGCGGCAGGCCUAACGCAUGCAAGUCGAACGAAGUCUUCGGACUUAGUGGCGCACGGGUGCGUAACGCGUGGGAAUCUACCCUUAGGUGCGGAAUAACAGUUAGAAAUGACUGCUAAUACCGCAUAAUGACUCCGGUCCAAAGAUUUAUCGCCUAAGGAUGAGCCCGCGUAAGAUUAGCUAGUUGGUGAGGUAAAAGCUCACCAAGGCGACGAUCUUUAGCUGGUCUGAGAGGAUGAUCAGCCACACUGGGACUGAGACACGGCCCAG